UGGCCCUCAAAUCGUCCCCUGUCGGUUCGAAUAUCAUAUCAAAAUCGUCGGAACACUUUAAGGAUGCAUGUGGAUUCCCUGGCCUCGAAAGCUUAAGCUAAGUUGCCUUUUGAGUUUUUCUGUUUGAUUGUAGUCUUUUUCUUCUGGUUUCUGUUUUAAUUUAGCCUUCUCUUUUAGUUUCUCUAUUAACCUAAAUUGUCUUCUAGUUUCUCGAUUAAUGCUAGUGUUCUUCUAGUUUCUCUGCUAAUUUUAGUUGUUUAUUAGUUUUAAUUUUAAUUUUAGUUGGCUUAGUUUCCCUUCUUUGAUCUAUGACCUUCUUGGCAGCUGUUUUAGAUGUUUUUUUAGGUUUUAAUUGGGUUUUUCUUCUCAUGAUCUCUUCUGGUUCUAUUUUUGGAUCGAUUUCUAUUCCUUUUGUUCUGAUUGACUGGUUUGAUUGAUUGUAUAUUCUUUAUGGUCUCCUGUUAAUAUGAUUUAAAUUUGUUAGUAAAUUUGGUUUUGCGUUUCGAACAAAUUCUGUUUCAUGUGAUCUCGAUAGUUAAUCAAGCUUGUGUGAGCCACUAUUUGGUUUUGAUUAGUUAAUUUAAUUCAUUCAAAAUAGAUUAUCCCAGUUUUUAUCAGUAAUUGGUUUCUAAGUUCUGUAUUUUAUCCUCAAGAAGCUAUUGAGUUAGUUUAGUUAACUUAGUUAUAGCUGAAUUAGGAUUAUUAAGAUAAUAACACGGUUAGGGUUUUGAUUAACUCAAAAUGAUAAUUUUAGUAGGUAAAAAGGGUAACAUGGGAAAUUUUGCAUGAGAAAACUAUGGUAACUAGAAUGGAAUUCUCUAGAAGCUGCUAGAAUAAGGGUCAAACUGAAAUUCAGAUUUUUGUUAGUUACAACUUGGAUAACAAGCUAAAGAUUUAGGGACUAGUAGGGCAAAUAAGAAAAUAAGAAGAGGGACUAAUGGGUAAACAUAAAAUGAUAGGGUUUACCUAAGCUUUGGAUAUAAAAGGACACCCUAAUGCCUUCAAUAAAGAGGUUCCUGGCAGACUGAAAUCCCUGAAAACUUCCCAUGACCUCUGCACUCUGAAAAUCAUAUAAAAAUCCCCAAAGUUUCCAGGAAAUCUUGAAAGAUAAUUAGAGUCUAAAACUUCCCAAAAUGCUACUUCAUUAGAGUGAUUUUCUUCAUAAUAAAUUCCAAUUCUCAACAGUUAAUUUGCAUUGCUAAUUUGAAUCAGCUAGAGAAGACUUGAAAUAUAUGUGUUUGAGGAGCUAGGAUUCCAAAUGCUUGGGUGGAUGCAAUUUUGAGUGUAUUAGGGUUAUUUUUGAGGUGUUUGGGUUGUUUUGCUGGUGUUAUUUACUCUAGAUCAAUGUACUCAUUUAUUUGAUAACUCCUACUAUUGGAAUCUAGGACUUGAGUUUGGUUUAUUUGCUUCAUUUGCUGAUAGAUUUGUUGCUGCUACUGCUCUCUUGACUGCCUACUCAUAGGUGUUUCUCCUUGCUUUCAUUCCAGGUACAUUUUUCUGAGCUCUCUCACUAUAUGUCUCAAGUGGAGGUCGAAUGACAAUGAUGCUUUGUGUUGUAAUAGGAUUAGGUUUUAUUUUGUUGUAAUUGGUGGUAAGUAACUUGGACUUUAUUGGACUCUUUUAAAAAAUAGUAAUGGAUUGAUGACAAUGAUGCUUUGUGUUAUAAUACGUUUAGGUUUUAUUUUGUAGUAAUUCGUUGUAAGUAACUUGGAUUGUACUGGACUCUUUUAAAAAACUGUAAUGGAUUGGUAUUUUUAAAUGUUUUCUUUUACUUAUUUCCUUCAUAUUAGCUUCAAUUGUCCCAAGUAGAUCAAGGGCUCAGGAAUCCUUGUAGCUAAUGUGGAGUAUAGUGUCUGUUUUACUUCAGUAGCAUGAAAUUUGGGAGUCAAGUUUUUUAUGCAAGUUCAUAUAUAUGCUCAGCUCAAGUGUGAAAACAUUU
rnacentral:lncRNA from 1 species